rnacentral:rRNA from 1 species
GACGAACGCUGGCGGCGUGCUUAACACAUGCAAGUCGAACGGAGCUAUUUAUUUCGGUAGAUAGCUUAGUGGCAAACGGGUGAGUAACGCGUAGGCAACCUGCCCUCAGGAUGGGGACAACGGCUCGAAAGAGCCGCUAAUACCGAAUGACGUAACUCUUCCACAUGGAAGAGAUACUAAAGAUGGGUCAAACCAUCGCCUAAGGAUGGGCCUGCGUCUGAUUAGCCAGUUGGUGAGGUAACGGCUCACCAAAGCGACGAUCAGUAGCCGGUCUGAGAGGAUGAACGGCCACAAUGGGACUGAGACACGGCCCAUACUCCUACGGGAGGCAGCAGUGGGGAAUCUUCCGCAAUGGGCGAAAGCCUGACGGAGCAACGCCGCGUGAGUGAAGAAGGUCUUCGGAUCGUAAAGCUCUGUUGUCGGGGACGAAAGAGUAGACGAGGAAAUGCGUUUACUAAGACG